UCUCUCUCCGUCUCUCAAAAAUGAAUAAAUGAUAAGAAAAAAUUAAAAAAAAAAAAGAAUGAGGGGCCCACAUUUUCCUUUUCGGCUGGACCCCAUAAAUCACAUAGCUGGUCCUGCGCAUCGUGACAUCCUUAGCUGGUGGUGCGGGGCCUGCCACGCGGGGGACAGUUCAGCAGGUGCGUGGACUGUCAGGUGCCCACAGACAGCACGGAAAAGUGGUCAGAGGGAAGAAGAGAACCAGGCCCUAGCAGUACGGAGGACUCAGGAGGGGAGGGCUUCGGAGAGAACCCUGUGUGCCCCUGCGUCCUGUGGCCUAGGCCGUGGUAAGGGUGCCUGAGUGUUUGCCGCUGGGGCUCAGGGUCCCACCGGUUGAGGCCUAGAUCCGCUGAAGGCCUGCUGUCCUCAGCCUGUCUCUGUUGCCCCUCAGCCCCUUCUAUUCUCUGACCCUGAAGAGCAAAGCGGGAUGUCUACACAGAGGCUGGAGUUUGUUUCCACACAGCCUGCUGGCACAUUUGCCUUGUCCUUCCGGCAGCUUCUUUCUCCAGAAAGCACUGCUGGGAUUGCCAGAUUAGCAUCGGAAUGGGGAGAGGGCCACUCCUACAAUAGCAAUCCCCUGUGGACGGAAGAGAGCCGGACAUCAAAUGAUGCCUUACCUUCCAACCCCGAGGCACGCUCUGCCAGGCCAGCAGGCUCGGGCCCCUCCACAGCAGGCUUAGAGCUCUGGAACUUUCCCGGGGCCUUCUCAGCCAAGACAGCAGAUCUCCUUGGGGAAGAGGUCCUAAUAACUAAGAAAGUGUGAUCAGUCUGGCCUGCGAUGGUAAAUUCUCCCCCACCGACCCCGUCUCCGAUGGCCAUCACCACCACCACCGAUGGAGGAAAAGAAAAUACUCCACAGUGAGUGGGUUAAGGCCUUUCGGUUCAGACAGGGAGGUUAGGCAGAAGCCGGGAAAGUGUUGGUUCUCUUUUCUUGUUGAGAACUGAACCACAAGAAACGGUCUGAGAUGGCCACCGGGAAGGUUCUGAUUAGUUGUGGCACAGGUUUCGAGAUGUCUGCAGAGACGAAACUGGAGUGAACGCGGCCUGUGUGAGAGCACUGAUCUUUGUGUAUAUGGUGGUGGGGGCGGGGGUCGUUGCAUCCCCGAAGCCCCAUCCAGUGCUGGGCCCCGGGGGUGUACGUAAGCAAGUGUCUGAGGUGACGCAUGAAAGGUUCUUUAGAAUAUCCCAAGAGAGACGGGCCCCAUUUCCAAGAACCAGGCUAUCCAAAUAAAAAUCCCAUCCAAAGUCCACUACCUCGUUUUAAAAGGAAGCUCUCAGUUCUUCAGUCCCGGGUCUUUGUGGCCUUACGUGAAGCCCAGACCCCGCACAGUCACAGCCUAAAAAAUACAGCGGUAUUUUUACAGGAGACGCUCCCAGAAUGGGGCAAGACUCCACUUGUAACACAAAACCCGUGAGGAAACUUUACUUCUGUUGCCAAAUAGAGGUUCCUACUCAAAGGGAACCAGAACAGCCAAAGAGGUUUUGCAAGAAGCAAGCCCUCUGUCGAAACCGCUGCGGGGACGUCAGGAAACUCCGAGGAAUGGCUGAAAACAGAUUUGUUCCACUGAGAACACAGGGACUUCAGCAAGGCGAGUGAGACCGGGUGUGGGAACCUGGGCUUGUCAACAUUCUCAUUUCUAGCCUUCGUCACCGUGCGGGGCAGGGGACGACAAGAGGACAGACCCCCCACGUGGGACUAUGUCUUUGUGUGGCCUCCUUCCCUACCAUGAAGACAAAGCUAUACGGAUGGCAUCUGGAGAAUGAACAACCAGGAGCCAGGCGCGAAGCUGUUUGCUGGACGCGGAGACACUCCUGUCCUCAGGUAACUAAUGCUGAGUGAACCACACACACACACUGGGGAGCUGCAGACAUCUGGGAACUCAGUGGCUCCAGCACUGAAGCGUCCCCAGGGGAAUUGCAAGAGACGCGUGGUGUCCUCAGGACGGUACAGGCUGUGUGACUGCAUAUUCCCAGUAGAGCCGUGAAACCAUCACCACGAUCCGAUUUUGGAACGUUUGGCAGUCAGUCUCCACCCCACUCACACACCCCCACGCGCACCCCCAGCCCUAAACAACCACUCACCGAUCGGCUUUCUGUUCCUAUCAAUUUGCCUCCAGAGACGAAUUCUGUACAUUUCAUAUCAAUGAAAUCAGAAACGUGUGGUCUCUUAGGACCGCCUGCUCUCACUUAGCACAACGUUUGCAAGGGUCAUCCGUGUGGCAGCGCGUGCUAGGACUUCAUUUCUACUUCUUGCUGGAUAACGUGCCAUCGUUUGGAUCUGUCACAGUUCGUUUAUCCCCUCGGCACCUGAUGGACAUUGGGUCGUCUUCACUUCGCGGCUAUUGUAAAUAGUGCCGCUAAAAAC